AGUCGAGCGAGCUUGCCUAGAUGAUUUUAGUGCUUGCACUAAAUGAAACUAGAUACAAGCGAGCGGCGGACGGGUGAGUAACACGUGGGUAACCUGCCCAAGAGACUGGGAUAACACCUGGAAACAGAUACUAAUACCGGAUAACAACACUAGACGCAUGUCUAGAGUUUGAAAGAUGGUUCUGCUAUCACUCUUGGAUGGACCUGCGGUGCAUUAGCUAGUUGGUAAGGUAACGGCUUACCAAGGCAAUGAUGCAUAGCCGAGUUGAGAGACUGAUCGGCCACAUUGGGACUGAGACACGGCCCAAACUCCUACGGGAGGCAGCAGUAGGGAAUCUUCCACAAUGGACGAAAGUCUGAUGGAGCAACGCCGCGUGAGUGAAGAAGGGUUUCGGCUCGUAAAGCUCUGUUGGUAGUGAAGAAAGAUAGAGGUAGUAACUGGCCUUUAUUUGACGGUAAUUACUUAGAAAGUCACGGCUAACUACGUGCCAGCAGCCGCGGUAAUACGUAGGUGGCAAGCGUUGUCCGGAUUUAUUGGGCGUAAAGCGAGUGCAGGCGGUUCAAUAAGUCUGAUGUGAAAGCCUUCGGCUCAACCGGAGAAUUGCAUCAGAAACUGUUGAACUUGAGUGCAGAAGAGGAGAGUGGAACUCCAUGUGUAGCGGUGGAAUGCGUAGAUAUAUGGAAGAACACCAGUGGCGAAGGCGGCUCUCUGGUCUGCAACUGACGCUGAGGCUCGAAAGCAUGGGUAGCGAACAG
rnacentral:rRNA from 1 species